GGAGAAUCAAGACUUGGAUGACUGA
rnacentral:piRNA from 1 species